UACAGAGGUCCCAAGCGUUGUUCGGAUUCACUGGGCGUAAAGGGUGCGUAGGCGGUUGGGUAAGUCUGUCGUGAAAUCUCCGAGCCUAACUCGGAAACUGCGUCGGAUACUAUUCAACUCGAGGAAUGGAGGGGAGACUGGAAUUCUCGGUGUAGCAGUGAAAUGCGUAGAUAUCGAGAGGAACACCAGUGGCGAAGGCGAGUCUCUGGACAUUUCCUGACGCUGAGGCACGAAAGCGUGGGGAGCGAACAGG
rnacentral:rRNA from 1 species